rnacentral:piRNA from 1 species
UCUCAGGACCCACAUGAUGGAAAGAGCAG